rnacentral:rRNA from 1 species
CGGACGGGUGAGUAACACGUGGAUAACCUACCUAUAAGACUGGGAUAACUUCGGGAAACCGGAGCUAAUACCGGAUAAUAUAUUGAACCGCAUGGUUCAAUAGUGAAAGACGGUUUUGCUGUCACUUAUAGAUGGAUCCGCGCCGCAUUAGCUAGUUGGUAAGGUAACGGCUUACCAAGGCAACGAUGCGUAGCCGACCUGAGAGGGUGAUCGGCCACACUGGAGCUGAGACACGGUCCAG